rnacentral:rRNA from 1 species
AUUGAACGCUGGCGGCAGGCCUAACACACGCAAGUCGAGCGGGGUUUUCGGACCUAGCGGCGGACGGGUGAGUAAUGCGUAGGAAGCUGCCCGAUAGAGGGGGAUACCAGUUGGAAACGACUGUUAAUACCGCAUAAUGUCUACGGACCAAAGUGUGGGACCUUCGGGCCACAUGCUAUCGGAUGCGCCUACGUGGGAUUAGCUAGUUGGUGAGGUAAUGGCUCACCAAGGCGACGAUCUCUAGCUGGUUUGAGAGGAUGAUCAGCCACACUGGAACUGAGACACGGGCCAGACUCCUACGGGAGGCAGCAGUGGGGAAUAUUGGACAAUGGGCGCAAGCCUGAUCCAGCCAUGCCGCGUGUGUGAAGAAGGCCUUCGGGUUGUAAAGCACUUUCAGCGAGGAGGAAGGGAUGUAUGUAAAUAGCAUGCAUUUUUGACGUUACUCGCAGAAGAAGCACCGGCUAACUCUGUGCCAGCCGCCGCGGUAACAC